rnacentral:rRNA from 2 species
AUAGAGUUUGAUCAUGGCUCAGGAUGAACGCUGGCGGCGUACCUAAUACAUGCAAGUCGAGCGGACAGAAGGGAGCUUGCUCCCGGAUGUUAGCGGCGGACGGGUGAGUAACACGUGGGUAACCUGCCUGUAAGACUGGGAUAACUCCGGGAAACCGGAGCUAAUACCGGAUAGUUCCUUGAACCGCAUGGUUCAAGGAUGAAAGACGGUUUCGGCUGUCACUUACAGAUGGACCCGCGGCGCAUUAGCUAGUUGGUGAGGUAACGGCUCACCAAGGCGACGAUGCGUAGCCGACCUGAGAGGGGGAUCGUCGACACGGAGAAUCAGACGCGGCCCGAAGUCCUACAAGAGGCAGCAGUAGGGAAUCUUCUGCAAUAGACAAAUGUAUGACGGAAAAACGCAGACUGAAUGAAGAAGGUAUUAGGAUAGUAAAGCUCUGAGAUAAGGGAAGCACAAGAGCAAGAGUAACUGCUUGCACCUACACACUCCCUAACCAGAAAGCCACGGCUGAAUACGUGCCAGCAGCCGCGGUAAUGAGUAGGUGGCAAGCGUUGUCCGGAAUUAAUGGGACUAAAGGGCUCGCAGGCGGUUUAUUAAGUCUGAUGUGAAAGCCCCCGGAUCAACCGGGGAGGGUCAUUGGAAACUGGGAAACUUGAGUGCAGAAGAGGAGAGUGGAAUUCCACGUGUAGCGGUGAAAUGCGUAGAGAUGUGGAGGAACACCAGUGGCGAAGGCGACUCUCUGUCUUAACGACGCGAGAGGAAGCGGA